rnacentral:rRNA from 1 species
AACGGCGAGUGAAGCGGCAAAAGCUCAAAUUUGAAAUCUGGCUCCCUUCGGGGUCCGAGUUGUAAUUUGUAGAGGAUGCUUCGGGUGUGGCCACGACCUAAGUUCCUUGGAACAGGACGUCAUAGAGGGUGAGAAUCCCGUCUUGGGCCGUUGGUCCACGCCCGUGUGAAGCUCCUUCGACGAGUCGAGUUGUUUGGGAAUGCAGCUCUAAGCGGGUGGUAAAUUUCAUCUAAAGCUAAAUAUUGGCCGGAGACCGAUAGCGCACAAGUAGAGUGAUCGAAAGGUUAAAAGCACCUUGAAAAGGGAGUUAAACAGCACGUGAAAUUGUUGAAAGGGAAGCGCUUGCGGCCAGACUCGAGCGCAGGGUUCAGCGGGUGCGUGUCACCCGUGCACUCCCUGUCGCCCGGGCCAGCAUCAGUUCUAACGGCCGGUCAAAGGCCCCCGGAAUGUGUCGUCUCUCGGGACGUCUUAUAGCCGGGGGUGCAAUGCGGCCCGUCGGGACUGAGGAACGCGCUUCGGCUCGGAUGCUGGCAUAAUGGCCGUAAGCGGCCCGUCUUGAAACACGGACCAAGGAGUCUAACAUCCACGCGAGUGUUCGGGUGUCAAACCCGUGCGCGCAGUGAAAGCGAACGGAGGUGGGAGCCUUAGGGCGCACCAUCGACCGAUCCUGAAGUCUUCGGAUGGAUUUGAGUAGGAGCGUGGCCGUUGGGACCCGAAAGAUGGUGAACUAUGCCUGAAUAGGGUGAAGCCAGAGGAAACUCUGGUGGAGGCUCGCAGCGGUUCUGACGUGCAAAUCGAUCGUCAAAUUU